rnacentral:misc_RNA from 1 species
UAGACAGCCAGCAAAUGAUUCUUCGAAGAAUAUCCCAACUUUUGCGAAAAAAAUUCUUGUUGUUGAGAUGAAUGCCUUGUGGGUUAUUGUAUCUGCUUCUUUUGUCCUCCUUCUAUCUGUAGCUUCAAUUCCUCUUCUCAACAACAAUGGAAAUUACUUGACAUACUUGCUGAACUGGAGAAGUUCUUCAUUUUUAAGUGAAGGGGCAGAUUUGUUGGUGACGAAUGGGACCAUUUAUACCAGUGAUGAAGCUCUCCCUUUUGCUGAUUCUAUGGCUAUUGGCAAUGGUAGAAUUCUUCGAGUUGGGAAUUACUCUUCUAUAAAGGAAUUGGCAACAAGUUGGACCAAGGAACUAAAUCUAGACGGAAAGAUUGUGGUCCCUGGAUUUAUUGAUUCCCAUGUGCACUUCAUCCCUGGGGGACUACUGAUGGCACUAGUGGACCUUCGUGGAGUAAAUACAAAAGAUCUUUUUGUAGACAAAAUUAGAAAAGCAGUUGCAAAUGUGAAACAUGGUUCUUGGUUACUGGGUGGUGGUUGGAAUGAUGAUAUUUGGGGAGGUGAUUUACCAAUGGCAUCGUGGAUUGAUAGUAUUACUCCUCAUAAUCCAGUUUGGUUAACAAGGAUGGAUGGUCAUAUGGGCUUAGCUAAUACAUUGGCUCUAACACUUGCUGGAAUUUCACGUAACAAUGACAAUCCAAAUGGUGGAGCUAUUGUAAGAGAUGAUGAAGGGGAACCUACUGGUCUGUUGAUUGAUUCUGCUAUGAAGCUUGUCCUUCACCACAUUCCAGAAGCCACUGUUGAUGAAAGGAGGGAAGCUCUUAAAAGAGCUAGCAAUCAUGCAUUAAAGAGGGGUGUGACAACAGUUGUGGAUUUUGGCAGAUAUUUUCCAGGGGCUUCUCCUGAGCAGUCAUGGGAAGACUUUUCAGAUGUAUAUAAAUGGGCAGAUUUAUCGGGAAAUAUGAUGACCAGAGUUUGCUUAUUCUUUCCAAUGGAGACAUGGUCGCGGUUAGUGGAUCUUAUGAGCAAGUCAGGCCGCGUGCUGAGCCAAUGGAUUUAUUUGGGCGGUGUCAAGGCUUUUGCUGAUGGAUCUUUAGGAUCUAAUAGUGCAUUAUUUCAUGAGCCAUAUGCUGAUGAUCCAAACAAUUAUGGGUUACAAGUGGUGGAUCAGGAUGGUCUAUACAACAUGACUCUUUCUUCAGAUAAGUUUGGCCUUCAGGUCAGCAUCCAUGCUAUAGGUGACAAAGCUAAUGACUUGAUAUUGGAUAUGUAUGCUUCUUUGCCGUCUGAGAAACAAUUUAGAGACCGACGAUAUAGGAUUGAGCAUGCUCAACAUUUGGCUCCAGGAACAGUGGCUCGUUUUGGUGAACAAUCUGUAAUUGCUUCAGUGCAGCCAGAUCACUUAUUAGAUGAUGCUGAUUCCGCAACUAAAAAAAUUGGUUCUGAAAGGGCAGAAAGAGGAUCUUAUCUGUUCAAGUCACUCCUGACAAAUAAUGCACAAUUGGCAUUCGGAUCAGAUUGGCCAGUAGCAGAUAUUAAUCCAUUGAAAAGCAUAAGGACAUCGAUGAAGAGAAUGCCUCCUGGUUGGGAAAAGGCUUGGAUUCCAUCAGAGUGCUUGUGUCUCGAAGAUGCGCUAAAAGCGUACACCAUUUCAGCUGCUCAUGCAUGUUUUCUUGAUAAAUAUGUUGGUUCAUUGUCUCCGGGAAAAUAUGCGGAUUUUGUGGUUUUGUCAACUAAUUCAUGGGAAGACUUUGCAACUGGAGUUAAUGUAGAUGUUGAGGCAACAUAUGUUGGUGGUUCUAAGGCUUACUCCAUAAAACCUGAAGAUCAAAAAUGAAUAGCACAGGCGACGACAAUUGUGCUGUAUUUGGAUACAUAAAUUUGAAACUGCUGUGCCAGACAAGAAGCGCGAUAUACUAAUUGAUUUUGGUUGGCUUCACUUUUGAUAACGAGUCUUCAAACUGUUAUAAAGGAAUAUGUAAAUUUUAUUAGUGAAAUUGUGUAACUUUUCUGUACUGGAAUGUAAAUGUUUUGAAUCCAUUAUCUCACCUCCAGUGAAUAAGCCUAUAUAUGCUUCUUUUAAG